rnacentral:snRNA from 1 species
AUCACUUCUUGGCCUUUUGGCUAAGAUCAAGUGUAAUAUCUGUUCUUAUCAGUUUAAAAAAAUGUCAUUCCUUGAUGACAAUAAUUACAACUUAAUUCUCUGCCCCAACUAUGGGUAAAUCUCA